rnacentral:rRNA from 1 species
UACCUACACUGGUGUAUCAGUUUUCCAUUGAAUGGGAACAGAUGAGAGUAUUGGCAGCCCUUCAACAGCUGUGAGAAUUAAUGUAAAUUGCAGGACACAUUGAUCAUCAACACUUCAAAUGCACUUGUGACCCCAGGUUCCUCCUGGGGCUAUGCCUGUCUGAACAUCA